GAUGAACGCUGGCGGCGUGCCUAAUACAUGCAAGUCGAGCGAACAGACGAGGAGCUUGCUCCUCUGACGUUAGCGGCGGACGUGUGAGUAACACGUGUAUAACCUACCUAUAAUACGGGGAUAACUUCGGGAAACCGGAGCUAAUACCGUAUAAUAUAUUGAACCACAUGGUUCAAUAGUGAAAGACGGUUUUGCUGUCACUUAUAGAUGGAUCCGCGCCGCAUUAGCUAGUUGGUAAGUUAACGGCUUACCAAGGCAACGAUGCGUAGCCGACCUGCGAGGGUGAUAGGCCACACUGGAACUGAGACACGGUCCAGACGACUAAGGGAGGCAGCAGUAGGGAAUCUUCCGCAAUGGGCGAAAGCAUGACGGAGCAACGGCGCGUGAGUGAUGAAGGUCUUCGGAUCGUAAAACUCUGUUAUUAGGGAAGAACAAAUGUGUAAGUAACUAUGCACGUCUUGACGGUACCUAAUCAGAAAGCCACGGCUAACUACGUG
rnacentral:rRNA from 1 species